rnacentral:snoRNA from 1 species
AAGUUGUGAUGUGGGCAUUGAAUCACAUAAACCUUGAAUCUUUCCUAAGAUUCAUAGAAAGAUUCUCCUUCCUUUUAAGUGAAGUUGCAAAUUCUAGACCU